CUGAAGGUAGAGAAAAUGAUGUAAAAAAUGAGGAAAACCAUACCACAACUAGGCGUGCAGAUUGGGAGAGAAAAACGGCAGAAAAAAUGAAACUCCGACGAGAUCAGCAACGGUUCCGGCUCCGGCGAGGUGAGCUCUAGGGUUUUUGAAACAGAUGAAAAAGAGUGAUAAAAGAAAUUAGAGUUUUAUAAUAUGGAUAUUGGGUUUAUAUAGUGUGAUAGAAAAAGAGGGGUAGGAAGAGAAAUAAAAGAUUUUUAAGUUCUUUUAUAUGGGUAAUAAAUUAAAGCGAUUUGGAUUUUCAGCUUUAAACGUAUGAGUGAAACUAGAAGAGAUAGAAAAUAGGGGAAUCAAGUGAUGGACCCCUCUAAACAUAUAUUAGAUGUGUUUAUAUACAAUUGAGUUUAAGAUUAGAUCUUAACUGAAUUCAGUUCAGAUCUAAUCUACACGAACUAAUUACAAUUAGUAUUAGUAUUAUAAAGACUAAAACGUAAUUACAAACAAAUGAAAACAAAUAGCAUUAUUUAUUAUUACUAAUAGUCCCCCUCAAGCUCAUCUGUGGUAACUGAUGAGGUUGACUCUUAGCUCCAUGAAUGAUAAUGGUUUUAAUGCCUUAGUUAGUGUAUCAGCUCGUUGCAUGGUAUUUGGAAUAUGAAUAACUUGGAUAACCUUCUUCUCCACCCUUUCCCAUACAAAAUUGAAAUCAAGCUCAGCAUGCUUGAUUUUAGUGUGAAACACAUGGUUUGUUUUGGUAUGGGAGAUAUAUUACAAGCAUAUCUCUGAAUUUUCUUGACUAUUCUCCUAGAUGCUCUAGUGAUAGGUAUGUGUUUUGUCACUAAAUUUUCUGCCUUCUUUGGAUUAUACUCUUCUUCAGAGCUCGAUCCAGAGUUAUCAAAUCCUUCAUCCAUAUUAUUUUCCACUGCAACAAGUGCUCUUCUACUGUACUGAAUUAGUGGUAACUCAUCUGUAGUAGAAGUGAUAGGAAGUCCAAACUGUAUAGUAGAUUCAUAAGCCACUGCAUGUUCUGAAAUAUCUGUCACUGCUUGUUCUGAAUUGUCAUUUAUUCUGCUCUGUUCAGACUCUUCUUCACCCUCAUCUGACUCACUCUCCUCUACCUAAACUGAUUGCGUUGGAAACUGAGAAAUAAUUGUUUUCUUUGACUGAAAUUUAUUUUCUUCAAAAAUUACAUCUUUGGAAAUCAAUGUCUUCCCAUUCCUCAUAUCCAUGCAUAUAUAUCCAUCACAAGUGACUGGAUAUCCUAGAAAAACAUAGGGAGUUGAUUUGUCACUCAAUUUAUUUUCCCUAUAUGGUCUGAGAUUGGGAUAACAUAUUGCUUCGAAUAUCUUCAACUUAUAAUAAUCAGGGGUCUUGAGAUAUAGAGCUUGAUAAGGUGAUAUACCUUUUAAUAUUUCAGUGGGGUUUCUGUUGUAUAGAUAGACAGAUGCCAUGAAUGCAUAGUCCCAGAAGUGUGUUUCCAACCCUGCAUGCUUUACCAUAGCCAGUCUGUGUCUGCGCUCUACCUUCUCCAUCUGAGGGUGAGUGUGUGGACAACUGAGACGAUGUAUUAUUCCAUUACUCCUUAACAGUUUUGACAGUUUUGAAAACUCUUUAGCAUUAUCAGUUUGGAGAGCUUUUAUAUUCCUGUCAUAUUGAUUUUUAGCCAUACAUUUAAAUUGCACAAAACAUUCUUCAACUUCAGAUUUUCUUCUCAUUAAGAAAAUCCAAUUGUAACUAGUUGAAGCAUCCACAAAAUUUACAUAAUACCUAUAUCCUUCAGUGGAUUCAGUUGGGGCAGGGCCCCACACAUCAGCAAAAAUAAGUUCAAGUGGAGUAUUGAUGGAAUUCUCACAGUCCAGUCCAUCUUGAAUAUCUGCCUUUCUGUCUGUAAUAUGGUUUGUUGAGCCAGAAUCAGCAAAUCAAGAUCAUGCAUUUGACAUCAUAUUCACUGAAUUCUCAGUGCUCUCUUGCCCUGCAUUUUCACAGUUCUCAUAUAUAACAUUUACAGACAUUUCUUUAAUCAUACCUGUCUCAGGGUACCGAACUGACAAUGAUUUUUGUCAUAGUUCAAAAAGCGAAAAAGCGGUCAGCUUUUUCAGGUUCCGCUUUUUCAGCUUUAAACGCUUUAGCGUGCUUAAAGCUGAAAAAGCGAUAAUAGCAUUUUUGUAAAUAAAUGUAAUUUUUUUUAAAAUUACAUAUAUACCCCCUGUUUAUAUAUAUAUUUUUUAAACCUGUAAAUAUAUGAUAAAAUCAUAAAACAUAUGGUGUUAAGUAGGUUCAGCCCGAAUUAUAAUAAAAUGAUAAAAAUUAAAAAAAAAAUUGAGGAUGGCCGGAAUCCGCCCAAAACAGCCCGGAUUCCGGCCAUCUUUUUAUCCCUUUUCAGACGGUCUACAAGUAAAGAAAUUGAUGGAAAAGUUGAGAACAUUCAUACCACUAGUAGACGUGAAGAUCGGAGGAGAAAAACUAAGUCAGGCGGCGACUCCGGCGAGGUCAGGUACGGCUCCGGCGAGGUCUACCGACGGCUCUAGGGUUUUGGAAGAAAUAAAAGUGAGAGUGAUAAAGGAAAUUAGGGUUUUAUUAGAAGGGUAUUGGGUUUAUAUAGUUAGAUAGAAAUUGGAGGGGUAGGAAGGGAAAUUAAAAUAGUUUAAGUUAUUUCACAUGUGUAAUGGGUUGCCCCAACCCAAUAACC
rnacentral:lncRNA from 1 species